rnacentral:rRNA from 1 species
GCGGCCUAUCAGCUUGUUGGUGAGGUAAUGGCUCACCAAGGCUACGACGGGUAUCCGGCCUGAGAGGGCGACCGGACACACUGGGACUGAGACACGGCCCAGACUCCUACGGGAGGCAGCAGUGGGGAAUAUUGGGCAAUGGACGCAAGUCUGACCCAGCGACGCCGCGUGAGGGAUGAAGGCCUUCGGGUUGUAAACCUCUUUCAGUAGGGAAGAAGCGAAAGUGACGGUACCUACAAAAGAAGCACCGGCUAACUAUGUGCCAGCAGCCGCGGUAAUACAUAGGGUGCAAGCGUUGUCCGGAUUUAUUGGGCGUAAAGAACUCGUAGGUGGUUUGUUACGUCGGAUGUGAAACUCUGGGGCUCAACCCCAGACCUGCAUCCGAUACGGGCAGACUAAAGUGUGGUAGGGGAGACUGGAAUUCCU